CAAAUACUCCCUCCGUUCCGAAUUACUUGUCGCAGGUAUGGAUGUAUCUAGAUGUAUUUUAGUUCUAGAUGCAUCCAUUUCUGCGACGAAUAAUUUGGAACGGAGGGAGUAUAAC
rnacentral:pre_miRNA from 1 species